rnacentral:rRNA from 1 species
GGACCUGACUGCUAUCGGAUUGAUACUAAGCCAUGCGAGUCAUUGUAGCAAUACAAGGCAUACGGCUCAGUAACGCGUAGUCAACCUAACCUAUGGACGGGAAUAACCUCGGGAAACUGAGAAUAAUGCCCGAUAGAACAUUAUGCCUGGAAUGGUUUAUGUUCCAAAUGAUUUAUCGCCGUAGGAUGGGACUGCGGCCUAUCAGUUUGUUGGUGAGGUAAUGGCCCACCAAGACUAUUACAGGUACGGGCUCUGAGAGGAGUAGCCCGGAGAUGGGUACUGAGACACGGACCCAGGCCCUAUGGGGCGCAGCAGGCGAGAAAACUUUGCAAUGUGCGAAAGCACGACAAGGUUAAUCCGAAUGGUUUCUGCUAAAGAAACCUUUUGUCAGUCCUAGAAACACUGAUGAAUAAGGGGUGGGCAAGUUCUGGUGU